rnacentral:rRNA from 1 species
UGGCUCAGAUUGAACGCUGGCGGCAGGCCUAACACAUGCAAGUCGAGCGGUAACACAGAGAGCUUGCUCUCGGGUGACGAGCGGCGGACGGGUGAGUAAUGUCUGGGAAACUGCCUGAUGGAGGGGGAUAACUACUGGAAACGGUAGCUAAUACCGCAUAACGUCGCAAGACCAAAGUGGGGGACCUUCGGGCCUCAUGCCAUCAGAUGUGCCCAGAUGGGAUUAGCUAGUAGGUGGGGUAAUGGCUCACCUAGGCGACGAUCCCUAGCUGGUCUGAGAGGAUGACCAGCCACACUGGAAUGAGACACGGUCCAGACUCCUACGGGAGGCAGCAGUGGGGAAUAUUGCACAAUGGGCGCAAAGCCUGAUGCAGCCAUGCCGCGUGUAUGAAGAAGGCCUUCGGGUUGUAAAGUACUUUCAGCGAGGAGGAAGGCGUUAAGGUUAAUAACCUUGGCGAUUGACGUUACUCGCAGAAGAAGCACCGGCUAACUCCGUGCCAGAGCCGCGGU